UGUUACUUCUUUCCCUGCCAUUUGUCUAGCUCAAUACUCGAACCAUGAUUUAUCUGCUUCAAUCACUUUCUCCUUGGAUCCUAUUUUAGAUCUUCAGUUCAUCACCAUGCCGGUAAUUUGUUGAAUCUGGUAUCGUUGAAUCACGCCAGUAUAAUUUUCCUUUUCCUUCAUUGACAUUAAAGUAGUACCUACUGAUCAUACAACUCGUGAACUGGGGCAAACUACGCACACUCCUCCUUCCAAAAAUAAAAAGUUACACAAAAUCCUAGGCUGCAGAUACAUGACAUGGAAUUUUUUUUUUCCUGAAGACAUGAUGGAACUUGCUCCUUAAGUUCUCUUUUCUGUUUUGACAAAAAAUUCAACCAAAAAAUCUCGCGGAACGUGACUCGAAUACCAAAUCAACAAAUCUGAGUAGUCAUUUCUCGAUAACUUUCAGAUCAGGUUACAGAUCAACAUUUUUUCAGUAUGCAUAUUGAUGACAAUACUUGUAGGUUGCAAUAGAAUGAUUUACAACUCAGCAUAAAUUAUUUGAACUUAACUGAACAUCAGAAAACCAAUGCCUAGCUCGGUGCUCAUCUCCUAUUCACCUCAGCACAUCUCAGAAGAUGAUCCUCCCUCCCAGAGAUUGAAGGUGUGGCCCCAUCUUAUCAGCAAGGGUAUACGGCGACGUAGCGCCUGCGCCGGGGAGGUGUGCAGAGCAUCAGCAGCAGCAAGGCGAGGACGAUGGUGACAAGCAGCCCCAGCAGGUUGAAGGCCGGCUCAUCAUCUUCCUGGCUGCAACACAGCUUGCCCAUGUUAGCUGUUAGGGAGGGAGGAGAGCUGAGUUCUUGGUAGAAUGAGGGUGAAAGGAGGCUUUGUUUCGUGGCUGUGGGGUUAGUUGUUGAGGCAUCGCUGUCCACUUUUCCAUGAUGCAAUUUCUUUUUCUUCUUUGCUCCUUCUGGUUCGAGAUGGAGUCACUCAACCAAUCAAUUCCACACCAACUAGCACCACUACCACCCGACUAGGAUAAAGUUGUUACAGGCAGAUCAGUAGCAAUGUUACAUGAUUUUAUUGGCAUCAUAGUCCUGGUUUUCCUUUCAGUAUAGCCUGGACAAGUUCAUAUUC